rnacentral:misc_RNA from 1 species
GCUCAACCCUAUGCAGCAUGUUCACGGUGGCCUUGUUAACUUUCAAGAAGACACCGUUGAAGAUCUGUCGCAAUCUGAGAAGCUGCAGAAUCUUUUUAGUCUGAGGAGGCAUUGCGUUAAUCCCACGGAUUCUGAUGAUGAAGAGCAACUUGGCCUCUGGAUCAACAUAGAAUCCUCCCUUCAAUCGUGCCUCGCGCUUCAAACGGAUCAACUCCUUCUCCUGCUCUGAGUACUCCUUAGCAUACUGUUUAGCUCUGUUGUAGAUAAGUUUACGAUUCUCAACACUCUUUUUCUUGGCAACUGCAAGCUCUUGCUUCUUUACAAGAGCCCACUCCUCAUUCCUCUUCUGCUUCUUCAAUACCGACUCUGGAACUACUACACCUCCCUCACCCAUAUCUCUAAUCCUAUGGAUUUCUGCGGCGGCGUCUCUUCUCUGCAGUCUUCUUCCUUCCCUAUAUCCGAUUGA